rnacentral:rRNA from 1 species
CGCCCGGGCUUCGGCCUGGUUAUUCAUAACCCUUUGUUGUCCGACUCUGUUGCCUCCGGGGCGACCCUGCCUUCGGGCGGGGGCUCCGGGUGGACACUUCAAACUCUUGCGUAACUUUGCAGUCUGAGUAAACUUAAUUAAUAAAUUAAAACUUUUAACAACGGAUCUCUUGGUUCUGGCAUCGAUGAAGAACGCAGCGAAAUGCGAUAAGUAAUGUGAAUUGCAGAAUUCAGUGAAUCAUCGAAUCUUUGAACGCACAUUGCGCCCCCUGGUAUUCCGGGGGGCAUGCCUGUUCGAGCGUCAUUUCACCACUCAAGCCUCGCUUGGUAUUGGGCAACGCGGUCCGCCGCGUGCCUCAAAUCGUCCGGCUGGGUCUUCUGUCCCCUAAGCGUUGUGGAAACUAUUCGCUAAAGGGUGUUCGGGAGGCUACGCCGUAAAACAACCCCAUUUCUAAGGUUGACCUCGGAUCAGGUAGGGAUACCCGCUGAACUUAAGCAUAUCAAUAAGCGGAGGA